UGUCACCGUCACAAGUCACAACUCACAUUUGUCAAACAGUCGUGGCUACAGAUUUGCUGGAGUGCCAAAUCCAUUUCCAUACAUCCCAGACCGCUAAAAAAACAGCAAGAUGACUUCCAAAUUACAAGAAUAUAAAGACACUUUAGAGCGUAGUUUGACCGACAAAAGCAAACCUUGGACCAAGUUCUUUGAAAAAGCCGAAGCGAAGACCGGCGUUAAUAGGGUCUACCUAUUUGUCGGCUUGGUGGCGUUCACUGGUUUAUAUUUAGUAUUUGGAUUCGGUGCGGAACUAAUAUGUAACAGUAUAGGAUUCGUCUACCCCGCCUAUAUGUCUAUGAGAGCUUUGGAGUCACCUUCUAAGGACGAUGAUACGAAGUGGCUGACUUACUGGGUGGUUUACGCGUGCUUCUCCGUCGUGGAAUACUUUUCCGAUUUUAUUGUUGGAUGGUUCCCUCUCUACUGGUUGAUCAAGUGCAUCUUUAUCAUCUGGUGCUACCUGCCGACCGACUACAACGGCUCCCUCAUCAUCUACCACCGCAUCAUUCGCCCCUACUACCAGAAGCACCACAGCCGCAUUGACGACAUCGCCAAUUCAGAUAUCCUGGACAAAUUGGUGCAAAACGCCAACAAGCAUAUGGAUAAAACUUUCGGUGCUUUAAACAAAAAACUGUCCGAACUCCAUAAAGAUUAGGUUAGGAUCCUGGUAAACAAGAAUAAAGCUGUACACACAUACACCACAAUAUCCAGACGCUUGGUAGCGGAUGCAGUUAGGAAGAACAAUUAAAACUGAAAUGCAAUUUUUCGAAUAACGGAGGGCGAAAAGUACAAAACAUCCGCUGCACUCGCUUUUGUACCGCUUCGGAGCACUCAUUGGACGCUAUAUAAAAAAAAAAAAAAAAAAAAACAGAAAAUCCAUAGACGAAAAAUAACAUUUUUUAUACUUGAAUCAAAGUUGUGUGAUUUAACGUAAAAGUCGGACAGUCCGAACGUAAUAAUAUUAAAUAAUUGACUGAUAUAUCUUUAACGAUCAAGUCUUUUUCUGUACAACGGUUUUGGGAAAUUCAUUUUGCGAUACGAUCAUUGUAUUACUAUUUAUGGUGGUAUUUAUGGUGGUCUAAGAGGUGGUGGGAAAUUUUGAAAAGGUGCUUUUUAAAGUUCUGAAAUUUGUAAUGUAACAUUCCGCAGUAUUUUGCGGAAGUAAAAUUAAUUAGUCUUCAGGAGAUCCAAAAAUCAAAGGUUUCAUGUUCAUAUCUUCCUUUUUCUAAAUAUUUUUAUUGGUGGGUUAGUUAUCCAAUUUUCUCACAAGCUAUAAAAUAAGUCGUGGUUUUUGUAUCUCCUGAAAAGUAUGUUAUUUUACUUGCGCGUUGUUUUGAUAAGGGACAAUAUGGUCAGAUAAAUCUUACUUGAAUAUGGGAAAUUGAAACAAAGCCGAUCCGUAUUAGUUUCACGGUUUCUGGAUCUAAGCGAGACUUACCCGAUAUUUUGGAUCAUCUAAUUGACUAGGUACUUUUAAAAUGCCACUCAGACUUCGCAACACGUGUCGUGUUUAAUCAAAUACUUUUCUUUUUUCCAGAAAUACUAAACGAGUUUGUAGUGUGUUCUGGGCAUAAAAAAUAUUAUUAUUAAAUUGUACGUGUACUCAUUACUUGUAGCGUGCUUGGCGUCGGAUGGGGUAUUCCAAAUGCAUUUUACAUAUGACGCUACAAGUGUGAAUAAGGUGCCGCGUAAAAUAUCAACUUUAAUUAAGUACUUUUCAAAUUUUCCUACCAGCUCAGCUAUUAUUUAAGUGUUCUUGUAUGAUUGUGACGGUUUUUGACGUGUUUUAGGUUGGAAAUUGUAGUUUAAUUAUUAAUUUUUGGUCUGAUUAAGAAAAAAACAUUGUUUGCUGGAUUAGGUAAGUGGCCUUAUCUUUAUAUUUUCUCUUAUUUUUAAGUUAACUUUGUCGCGAUGGAUUUCUUUUUUAUAAAUCGUUAUUUAUGUAGGAUGUAUUUGCUCAAGGAAUGUUGGUAAUUUGUCCGUUGCAUUGUGAAGUUUUUAAAGACCAUUUUGUUUUCUAUUUUUCUAGAUUUUUAUACAUCAUUUUGAUACGACCAGAUUACCAUUAUAUAACAUUAAUAAUUCCUUAUAUGAAAUUUACAAAAAUACUAUUUCAUUAUUGAUUCGACAAUAUUUCUACACUAAAAUGAAGUCAUAAUAUUGCUAUGUUUGUAGUGGUUGUAAUAAAACAUCAUGUUACAAAAAAUGGAAUCUUUAAAAUUUGAUUAGCUAAAUAUAAUGCAAUUAACUAGCCCCACUAUUUUGUAGGCGUUUUUUAAAUUUAAAGAAAUGCACUGAUGUUUAUUACUAUAUAAAAGCAGACUUAAUUAUAUACCUGUUGAUUAGCUUUCCUAGCUCAUAAUAUAGCCACGUAAAGAUAUUCUGUAAUAUGUAACGUCGUCUAUACCGAAAUCUAAAAAAUCCAAAAUAGAUCAAAGAAUGUUGACUGCUGAUAUUAAGUGACUACGAAAAAUGACAAAUAACACCUAAGUUCUAUUGACUAUUCGGUUUCGAGUAUGAUAACAAUUAUCGGAGUAUUUUAUUAAUAAGAAGCGUUAUAGACAAGUAUGUGAUCAAACCGUGCAAGUAAAUAUUUUUAAUCAUGUACCUAUUUUACCUUUUGCUUGAUAAAAUUUAAAUAAAUUAAAGUUAAGUGUGCCUUGAAAUUUUUGGCUGUAUUGAUUGAUGUAUAUCUACGCAAGGUAUUGUUAUUGCUGUUUUUCACGGAAUAAAAGGAAUUCAUUGCA